CCCUUAGAUGUUCUGGGCCGCACGCGCGCUACACUGACGAAUGCAACGAGCUUAUAACCUUGGCCGAAAGGUCUGGGUAAUCUCCAAAUUUCGUCGUGAUGGGGAUAGAUUAUUGCAAUUAUUAAUCUUCAACGAGGAAUGCCUAGUAAACGCAAGUCAUCAGCUUGCAUUGAUUACGUCCCUGCCCUUUGUACACACCGCCCGUCGCACCUACCGAUUGAAUGGUCCGGUGAAUUCUUCGGACUGCGGCUUUGACUCGAUUUCGGUCGAGGCGUUGCUGCGGGAAGUUGAUUAAACCUUACCAUUUAGAGGAAGGUGAAGUCGCAACA
rnacentral:rRNA from 1 species